rnacentral:rRNA from 1 species
GACAGAGGGUGCAAACGUUGUUCGGAAUUACUGGGCGUAAAGCGUGCGUAGGCGGCUCUGCAAGUCAGAUGUGAAAGCCCCGGGCUCAACCCGGGAAGUGCACUUGAUACUGCAGAGCUUGAGUGUCGGAGAGGUUGGUGGAAUUCUCGGUGUAGAGGUGAAAUUCGUAGAUAUCGAGAGGAACACCGGCGGCGAAGGCGGCCAACUGGACGAACACUGACGCUGAGGCACGAAAGCGUGGGGAGCAAACAGG